GAUGAACGCUAGCUACAGGCUUAACACAUGCAAGUCGAGGGGAAACGAUAGAGAAAGCUUGCUUUUUCUAGGCGUCGACCGGCGCACGGGUGAGUAACGCGUAUCCAACCUGCCCAUCACUUGGGGAUAACCUUGCGAAAGUAAGACUAAUACCCAAUGAUAUCUCUAGAAGACAUCUGAAAGAGAUUAAAGAUUUAUCGGUGAUGGAUGGGGAUGCGUCUGAUUAGCUUGUUGGCGGGGUAACGGCCCACCAAGGCGACGAUCAGUAGGGGUUCUGAGAGGAAGGUCCCCCACAUUGGAACUGAGACACGGUCCAAACUCCUACGGGAGGCAGCAGUGAGGAAUAUUGGUCAAUGGGCGAGAGCCUGAACCAGCCAAGUAGCGUGAAGGAUGACGGCCCUAUGGGUUGUAAACUGCUUUUAUAAGGGAAUAAAGUGGGAGUCGUGACUCUUUUUGCAUGUACCUUAUGAAUAAGGACCGGCUAAUUCCGUGCCAGCAGCCGCGG
rnacentral:rRNA from 1 species